CUACGGGCCGCAGCAGUGGGGAAUCUUAGACAAUGGGCGCAAGCCUGAUCUAACCAUGCCGCGUGAGUGACGAAGGCCUUAGGGUCGUAAAGCUCUUUCGCUGGGGAAGAUAAUGACGGUACCCAGUAAAGAAACCCCGGCUAACUCCGUGCCAGCAGCCGCGGUAAUACGGAGGGGGUUAGCGUUGUUCGGAAUUACUGGGCGUAAAGCGCGCGUAGGCGGAUCAGAAAGUUGGGGGUGAAAUCCCGGGGCUCAACCCCGGAACUGCCUUCAAAACUCCUGGUCUUGAGUUCGAGAGAGGUGAGUGGAAUUCCGAGUGUAGGGGUGAAAUUCGUAGAUAUUCGGAGGAACACCAGUGGCGAAGGCGGCUCACUGGCUCGAUACUGACGCUGAGGUGCGAAAGCGUGGGGAGCAAACAGGAUUAGAUACCCCCGUAGUC
rnacentral:rRNA from 1 species